rnacentral:rRNA from 1 species
AGUGAACGCUGGCGGUAGGCCUAACACAUGCAAGUCGAACGGCAGCACAGUAAGAGCUUGCUCUUACGGGUGGCGAGUGGCGGACGGGUGAGGAAUACAUCGGAAUCUACUUUUUCGUGGGGGAUAACGUAGGGAAACUUACGCUAAUACCGCAUACGACCUACGGGUGAAAGCAGGGGAUCUUCGGACCUUGCGCGAUUGAAUGAGCCGAUGUCGGAUUAGCUAGUUGGCGGGGUAAAGGCCCACCAAGGCGACGAUCCGUAGCUGGUCUGAGAGGAUGAUCAGCCACACUGGAACUGAGACACAGUCCAGACUCCUACGGGAGGCAGCAGUGGGGAAUAUUGGACAACGGGCGCAAGCCUGAUCCAGCCAUACCGCGUGGGUGAAGAAGGCCUUCGGGUUGUAAAGCCCUUUUGUUGGGAAAGAAAAGCAGCAGGUUAAUACCCCGCUGUUCUGACGGUACCCAAAGAAUAAGCACCGGCUAACUUCGUG